rnacentral:rRNA from 1 species
UACAGAGGGUGCUAACGUUGUUCGGAAUUACUGGGCAUAAAGCGCACGUAGGCGGCCAGAUAAGUGUAGAGUGAAAUCCCACGGCUUACCCGUGGAACUGCUUUGCAUACUGUCUGGCUAGAGGAAGGUAGGGGAGAGCAGAACUCUUGGAGGAGCGGUGAAAUGCGUAGAUAUCAAGAGGAAUACCAGUGGCGAAGGCGGCUCUCUGGUCCUUUUCUGACGCUGAGGUGCGAAAGCUAGGGUAGCGAACGGG